UUCUAGUCUUUACACUUUUAAUAUAAGUGACAUACUAACGAAUAAGGUGGGUUUAAUAGGUAUUGGCAGGUUUUACCAAGUGGUCUUAACCAAUUUGAAACCAGAAACCUGGCAGAAUCAUAUGUUGUUGACCUUGACAAGAAGACUUGUACUUGUAGAGUAUGGCAACUUAAUGGGUAUGGUUGUGUGCACUCAGUAGCUACUAUAUCAUAUUUGAAUAGAGAUGUAGCCACUUAUGUUGAUCCAAUGUUGUAUGCUGCCUUCUACAAGAACACUUACAAAUACCAUUGUCACACCCCAAAACCGGAACGGCGGAAACGUUCUGGGGUGGAUGACGUCAUGUCAAGUAUCACAACACAUGCAUUAUAGUAAUCAAAGUACAACAAAACAUUGCAUUAAUAGUAAUAGUUUUACAAUGUUACAUUUCAAUACAUCAAAGUAAUACAGACAAAUAUGAUAAGUACAGCAAGUUAAUAAGCUAUCUUCGUCAACUGCUCCUGGGAUGUACCUGUCUAAUGCUAACCUGAGAAUACAAGUUAUUUGAAAAGCGAGUAUCAGCAUUUUUACAAAUGUUGGUGAGUUCAUAAGUAUUUAGUGACAUUUUCAUUCAAAUAACUUUAAUGAAAGUAGUAGUUUAAGNAUUAGAGUCCUUUCCAGAAAAUCAUAUAUUUUCUUUAAUAAAAGCAGCCUUCUACCAAGACUGGUCAGUGAUGGGUAGGGUAAAAAGUAGUCUUCCCUAAAUUGCUAUCAUUAUCAAAAUACUGAAUUUGAUUAUUGAGGAAAGCAAACGACAUCAGGGAAUAUCAUAUGCCACAGCAGUGAGGACUACUGACUAAGUCAAGGAACCAUAGACUCCAGGAAAGUAUCAAACGAACGAUACGCCUGGUUCAGUCUAACAAGUGAAGACUCAGACCCAGAAGGUACCAAAUGAAAGGUACAACUAGUAAGGUCUAAAACAGUGAACACAGUGAAUACAAUGAAUAUAGUGGAUUCUGUGAAUAUAGUGGUUACAGUGAAUACAGUGGAUUCUGUGAUUACAGUGGAUAUAGACCCCAGACAGCAUCAAAUGAAAGAUACGUCUUGUAAGGUCAAAACAGAGGAGACAGACCCCAGACAGUAUCAAAUGAAAGGUAUGUCUUGUAAGGUCAAAACAGUGUGACUCUGAAAAUGAAUUACCAGCAUACAGUGUAAAUAGCUGGCGAAAUACCGUUACCUUAAGGCCAUGAAUUAUAAGGUAAACCGGGAUACUCGUAACCAUACUGACUAGAGUACCAGACACCCUACAAGCGUCUAUAAGAUGUGACAUUUGUCACCCCUUGGCUUGGUGAGCCGUGGACUGUAGCUAGCAGUCAGGGUGCGGGGGUGUCAAUCUCGUAUAGAUCUAUACACACAAUGUCCGCUCUCCCUACAGGAGCCUCUGGUUACCAACUAGACGACGGAGAAGGCCGUGUCCUGAAGAUGCAUCCCAAUAGUGGGUAGAGACUUCCGAAUAGUGGGUUUUUAAUGAAAGUGCUGUACUAGAGGUGGAGACUUCCCAAUAGUGGGUUUCUAAUGUAAGUGUUGUAUUAGAGGUGGAGACUCUUAACUGAAUUGACUGAAGUAACCUAUAUGCCUAAGCUUGUAUACAUAGUAUAUAACUAAUGAAUCAAAUGACCUUCGGAUGGACAUCCGUUCCCACCAGACCACAUCUCAACGAAGAAAAGGAAAUAGGGAGGACAAGCCUUCAUAAGUCCUUCAAUCAUUAUUUAUAUGCCUCUAUACAAGCACCGGCAUACAUCUAACUACGCUUGAGUGUGUAUCAAGUAGAAGUGAUUCUUGCGAAGUAGGAGUGUCUAACAAGUGAAGUAGGAGUGGUCGCAAGAGAAGUAUAAGUGUCGAAUAAGUCUAAGCGUAUCGCGAAGUAGAGACGACAACAAGUGAAGUAAGAGCGUAUCGAGUAUAAGUGAAGUAGAGUCGAUCUCAAGUAUAAGCGAGGUAGAAUCGUAUCACUAAGUAAAAGUGUGAAUAAGUAUAAGCGUCAUCAGGUAUAAGUGACUUCAGGUAUAAGUGAAAGCAUUACAGAGUAGGAGUAUAGAAUAAGUAUAAGCGAAGCAGCAGUAUUUAACAAGUAAAGUAUACGUGCAAAAGGGAAUCUUUGAUGAAAAACCUUUAUGUCCAGAGAAAAUCACAAAUUGUAUUCUUUGGUAAAAUGUGUUUGAAAACCUUAGAAAAUCUCUCAUAAACCAGUUUAGGAUGAAUCUAGUUAAAACAGUAUAAGUAAGAGUUUUGAAACAAUUGAAAACCAUCAUAGUGUCCUACUCGGUAAAACAGUGUACAGUGGUAAAAUCUUAUGCAUGCGGGUUAUCAAUCACAUGUGAUUGAUAUGAUAACUGGCAUGUUUAACUUGUAUUCCCCCUAUAAAACAUGUGAAAACAUUAAAAAGGUUCAUUCAGGGGUAUUAACUCACCUGGUGUAAGUAGGUCCGACGAAGGUGCCGUUUGGGCGUUCGGUGUCACGCAAGGACUCGAACACACACAAUGACCUAUUUAACAUAUGGUAACAUAUGUUCACAUACAAUUAGCAUAUAUAAUACUAAUUAAACACAUUUACGCGCUCACAUGAGAGGAAAACACCUUGGCUAAGUGUUUGGGUGUCCCGGGUAGCGUUUAAGGGUGUGUAUGGUUAAGGAAUGGAGCUUGCUAUCCGAGAGUAAACCCCUAUCACAUAGUUUACGGCCCAGGGACAUCUCACCAUGAGUUUACGGCCGUAAACUCAUGGUGAUGAGGUCUAGGGUGUUUAAGGCUUCUACUUGCAUCAUGGAAUUAUUCUAAGCACUUUUCCUAAAAGGCAUGAGUGGGUUCAAGGCUCCUAAGGGCUUUAUAUUGGAGUUUACGGCCUAGGGACACUCCUAAGGGAGUUUACGGCCGUAAACUCUCACCCUUAGAGUUUUGUGAAGUUUCAAGCCCCUAUUACCUUUCUAGCAAUUUCUAAUGGAGUGUGAUGCUAUUUUGGGGGAUUAAAACUAUCAUUUGGAUGUGUUUUGGGGAGUUUACGGCCUAGACACUUGCUUGGGCCGUAAACUCCUUUUUACCCCUCCAUUUCAUGUGUUUAAGUCCUUAAAUCCUUCCUAGCAUUUUAUAGAAAUAGUCUAAGGUCAUUUGGGGGGCAAAAACCACAUUUUGGGCAUGGUUUGGGGAGUUUACGGCCUUGGUAUAGACCUGGGCCAUAAACUCCUUUUUAUCCUUCAUUUUGAUGUGUUUAAUUGAUCCAAACCCCAAAUACUAAGUCCGUAAAUUAUGUGUUAAGCCCUAGUGUGGUUUGGGAGUGUUUUGGAGGCAUUUAGACAAGGUUUUGAGGGGUUUACGGCCUAAGCAUGUGCUUUGGCCGUAAACUCACAUUUUUCUGCCCCAAUUUAUUGUGUUUUGAUGUUUAAACACUCCUAGGCUAGAUCCAUAAUUAGUUUCCAAGCUUAAGGGCAAGUUUAAAGGCAUGUUUGGCACCAUUUUAGGGGUCUACGGCCCUAGAGUGUUCAUGGGCCGUAAACUCCUUAUCCCAUGCCUUCUUGAAUGGUUUUUGGGCUAUAACUACAACUAGUAAUGUUUAGAACAAGCUAGGGUAAGCGGACUUACAAUUUGGAAGCGUUUGGUUGCGGAUUCGAGGCGAAAACGGGUCUAGGGAGAGAGUAUAGAGAGAGAGUGUAAGAAGUCUCCAAUUGACUCCACUCACCCUUAUAUAGGGUUCACAGUCGGGGCUCGGGGGAAUUUUACCCGAUACUGCCGUUAAACGGGGCUUUUGGUCGCACCCGAUUUAGUGGUCGUAAUAAUAAAACUUGACAUUUUCCCAAUAAAUGGAAAUGUGUGUCCUGUGUUUUUAUUUCCUUUUAUCACGACUUAACGACAUGCUAAAUGUAACCAAAUGGAAUGUUUAUUAAAGUGAUGCCCUCUAAUUAACGAAACUUUUAUACAGUGGAAUAUUCCGUUAACGGUAACGGGGAAAUGUAACGGCAUAACCUGGGUUGUCACAACCAUCCCCCCGCUAGAGGGAAUUUCGUCCCGAAAUUCAAGUCUAGGAAAGGAAGUAGGUAUGAAUGGCCAAGUAGGGGUAAGGGAGUACUUCCUAUACGGUUGUCCUCGCAUUCCCAUGUGGUCUCUGGUCUGUGUUUGUCAUUCCAACAGACCCUCACGUAUGGGAUGCGGAUUCCGUCUAUUGUAGCUAGUGGUUUCCAACUGGUGUAUCUACGAGGUUAGGGUUCUUCAUGGAUUCUAUCGAGAUGAGUGAGGCACGAAGAGUGUUGUCGGGAGAUCACAUAUCAAGUCUAAGAAGUAGAUCGAUCAGGUGUGAAUCUCGUGGUAUAUCUGAAGGUAGUGGCAGCCUGAAAAGGGUUGGACCAAGUCUCCAUGGGGAUUCUCAUAUGGUCCUAAGCUCUCGGAAGGGUAGAGCUUUUCAACACUUAGAACAUAGGGUACUUCUAUGGCAAGAUCAUCACUGGCGUGAUCGCCAUUUUGAAGUUCCUAACGUUCUCACUCGUACUGUGUGUGUAGUCCUUCAGGUUGGUUCUUAGGAAUCUCGAGUGGUCUUUGGUUUCAUGUUUUCCGUCAACUGGCUGAUAGAGACUUUCUAGAUUGUCGAGUGGGUUGCGUGACUAUGGUUAUCGGUUUGCUGUAGAGUGUCUAUCUCAAGCUUGUGCAAAAUGGACCUGCACCAACGAACCUUGAGAUACGGAAACCCUGAGGGUCGGGGAGAUAGGGUUUCACCAUACGAGUGUUGGACUAUCUCGGGAGGUGGUUCUAUUAUCUCUGCGUGAGAUAGUAUUCGUGGAACACCUAAUAGUCCAAUGAAUCUCUAAGAUUGUGGUUUAUUUUAGCGUGGAAAGUGUAUGCUCCUACAUAACCCCUCGACUAACACCAAGGCUGGUGUCGAGUGUACAAUCUUUUCGGGAUCAGGGUCACGAGGCUUAACACAACUACGUUCGCACUUUACCAAGUAUUCUUGGCUGCGAAGGUUAUCCUGUGGUUCUCGGUAUCCUAGUGUUCACUUCGGAGAAUGUAUUUUAUCGUCUACCGGGCGACGACGAAUUCCUCCAUGCGAGAGGGUGGAGGAUGAUAAGCACCACUUGUCUAUAACUGGGUGGACGAGGUGCAUGAGUAGUGCGAUCAUCUACUACAACUACUCCUCCGAAGGUUAUGAGUUUUCUCGGUCUAGGUCAAAUUUAGUGGGUAUAGGGUCUCCCGGGGGAUUCUACGGAGUAUGCUUCGGAUGGUGGUCGUCUUCUCAGAGUAUUUGCAGUGCCUUUUGCUUCGGUGUUUAUCUGACUACGAGGGGUCGAUCAACAGUGUGCGGUACCCUCCCUUGGGUACUUCAGAAGGUCCUUGAGAGAAGAGGGACGAUUGACGGAUCGCAUUAUGUUUGAUUAUUUGUGUUAUGUUCAGGUUCGGAAGAACCUUUAUUCGCCGACAUGGCUAUGGAGAAAAUUCUUUUUGCACAGCACUAAGGACGUACACAUGGUUGCACGAAGUCAAACCAUGAUCAAUAGAGUCGUCGAAGUUGGCACACUCCGACAUGAUGUAAAGUGAAGAUCAAUAGAGUCAUGUGCCGAACAGGCACACAAGUUCUAGGCGUCUCGGGUUUCGUCCUAUGUAUCACUACCGCGGAUAAUUGGACCGAUAGAGUCGACGCGGAACUAUCGAGAGUUCUAAGUGUUUCCGAAUAGAGUAUCUUUUCAUGAACGGAUUCUCACGAGGCAUUUCUAUAAUCGCCUCACAUAUACUAGUCAUGUAUAUUUAAGGUGGGGAGGACUGUUGACUGAGCGACCCCGCCCUAAAUCCACAACCAAACGAGGAACAGGAAAUGAGGCGGCAUUCACUCACUCUAGGUCUGUCCAUCUUAAAUAUACAUGGCCGUAACGUAUAUGUUUAGCCAUUAUAGUUUUACCUAAUGAAUUUUAAAUUUUAUAACAGUGCUGCGACUUUCGCCCUACUGGGAAGAAUUUUCAUUUGAAUUAGUCUUUUGUUGUUCUUAGUUUAGUUAUCCGAGAUCGAGAGACGUACCAAAAUCUAACGAGUUCCUUGCCGCUUCUCCCUAAGCAGUAGUGUCAGGCUCCUUCUGUGUCUUUGUCUUUCCCUUCGGUUGGGCAGUCCUUCUUGAAGUGUCCCAUUUUACCACAUAGGUGGCAAACUGUGCGGGUCGCCACAUUGGUGGUUGAUGUAAUGAACUCAACCGGGGUUCUGCAGACGCGAGCAGUAUGCCCCAACAUGUGGCACCUAGCACAAUAGAGCUCUCGGCAGACACCAUGAUGAAGGUAGCUGCACUUGCUGCAGUGGGGAAGGUCUCCUAGGUAUGGUCUUCUUGGAGUCGGGAGGGAGGGAAUGACAGGGGUAUAGACUGUCUCAGCUCGUUUCCCUUCGGAAGGUCCUUGAGCCGAGGUACUUCCCUCCUCAAUCUUGAGUUUUCUCUUUAGUGGGUUUGAGUGAGGUUCUCUUUAGUGGGUUUGAGUGAGGUUCUUGGGUGGCUAAGUAUGGAAGUGCUGGUUGUUGCUGUCCAUUGCUAGGAUCGGAAUUUCCGACAGGGCCCUUGCUAACAUUUGCGGUGUUAGCAUUCAGGUGAGCCAUGACAGCUGCUACGGCUGCUGAGACUGCAGCUUGGAACGUAGCUUCAUCGAAUAAGAGAGUAGGUUUCUUGCUUGUGGAUUGGUUACGCUUCUUCGGUGGCAUGGUUUUCCUACACGGAAAGGAAUAAAAGGUAAUGAGAGGUGAUGGUUAACCCUGGACAUUUCUGUCCUUAACGUAUUAGGCAUAAUUUUUCCCGUGCCUCGGAUGUUGGUUGUCUGAGUGUCGACCUACAUCCCUAUGAUGUAGUCCUGGUAAUCGAAGUGGGUGUAUGAGUAUCGGAAAAAGGCCAUAAGAUGCGAGUCGUUCCUACUAAGUUACCUUUAUACUAGGAAAGGUUUCACUCUCCGGCCUGGAGAGAUUUGAGAACAGUUCGGAACAAAACUACAGAAAAAGAGGCUCACAAGGGCAAAUGACUAAAUUCCCUCAAUAGAGAUGCGGGGAUCCGCCCUAAUCGUGUAUCUGGCAACGGGAAAUGACGAUUUACUUAACACAUAGCGUGAGUAGUGUAACCACUAACUCGCUAAAUUGUAUUAUUUUUAAGGGUGAAUUAUCGUGACGAAUACGAGGAAAAAACAAUUCUCGGGUUUCAUGUACCGGCUCCCUCGGUCUGCCUCGUAUCUUUGACUGGGAUCGGCGUUGGUUUCCUUCGGGUAGUUUCCUAGGUUUCUCUUCUCGUAUGGACAUUGUGAAUUUCUACUCCGCCUUCCUUCUGAUUCCAACUCUAGGUGUCAUCACUUCAUGACGGAUGACUGAGAAUCUCUGAAGUUUAGGCGAACUCCUCACCGAUGUUCCUAAGAGAAUAUAGGCACCUGGUCAAUUCAAUGGUCUCGACCCAGUUCAUUUAUUUCCGAACAGGAAAUCUUCUCGAUGAACCUCCUCGGGGUUGGAAUCAACUCUUCUGUCAAGCACUGAAGUGGGUAGGGUUUUCUACAGGGUUCGCGCGAGAAUGGAAAUGUCUAAAGAAUCCUAAGAGAUUAUUAACAUUUCACUGUAUGAUCCAUAUCGAGUCCUGCUACGAUUACACAGGGUAUACAAAUCAUAUAUAGCUUAGAUCCGAUAGGCCUUCGAAUAUGUGAUACUACUCUAGAACCACAUCCCAACGAGGAAAAGGAAAUAGAGCGAAACCACACAUUCUCAGCCUAUGGGAUCCUUAUUAUAUAUAACCUUGGGAGUAUACCCUCUGUAGUUGUAGGUAUAUCAAUAAGGAUCUUUUUAGUUAUUCACGCAAGGUUGGUUAUGGAUCCUAAAAUACCCUUAUGGUAUUUUAAUUCUUGUUUAGUUCUUAUCUUCUGAGUAUCAUUCUGGGAUUAGUGUGAAUCCUUUAGCGUUCUAAAAUACUCCUAUAGUAUUUUAACUUUAUGUUUGGCUCUAGCAAUCCUAGUUUGUAAGUUUCAGACCUGUUGUACACCACUAUCACUCCCAAGAACACGUUCAUCGAAUCUCGGAUAAAUGUAGUUGAUCAGGUUACAUUUAUCCCAGCUUACGAUUACAUAACUGCCCAGGUUUGACUGGAGUGCUCAACCUCCGAAGACUUUUAUUAUUGUUCUUCUUGUGAUACUUUUGUUCGAGUGUUUAGAUUCUGGAUGUUAUUAUACUUUGGUAAAAUAUGGUUAUAUUUUAAAGUAUAAUUCUUGGUCAGAGUGUUUUAUCCCUUUGUGUUUAUAGGUUGUAUAUCUUUUAUGAAUUGAUAUACUUAGCUCACUAUAAACAAUGCUCUGAUACCAAUCUGUCACACCCCAAAACCGGAACGGCGGAAACGUUCUGGGGUGGAUGACGUCAUGUCAAGUAUCACAACACAUGCAUUAUAGUAAUCAAAGUACAACAAAACAUUGCAUUAAUAGUAAUAGUUUUACAUGGUUACAUUAAAACAUCAAAGUAAUACAAGUAAUAGAAUAAAUACAGCGUGGUACUAAGCUAUCUUCAUCAACAGCUCCGGGGAUGUACCUGUCUAAUGCUAACCUGAGAAUACAAGUUAUUUGAAAAGCGAGUAUCAGCAUUUUUACAAAUGUUGGUGAGUUCAUAAGCAUUUAGUGACAUUUUCAUUCAAAUAACUUUAAUGAAAGUAGUAGUUUAAGAGAUUUCAGUGUAUUAGAGUCCUUUCCAGAAAAUCCUAUAUUUUCUUUAAUAAUAGCAGCCUUCUACUAAGACUGGUCAGUGAUGUGUGGUAAAAAGUAGUUUUCCCUAAGUUGUUAUCAUUAUCAAAAUACUGAAUUUGAUUAUUGAGGAAAGCAAACGACAUCAGUGAAUAUCGUAUGCCACAGCAGUGAGGAUUGCUGACUAAGUCAAGGAACCAUAGACUCCAGGAAAGUAUCAAACGAACGAUACGCCUGGUUUAGUCUAACAAGUGAAGACUCAGACCCCAGAAGGUACCAAAUGAAAGGUACAACUAGUAAGGUCUAAAACAGUGAACACAGUGAAUACAGUGGAUUCUGUGAAUACAGUGGUUACAGUGAAUACAGUGGAU
rnacentral:lncRNA from 1 species